GACGAACGCUGGCGGCGUGCCUAAUACAUGCAAGUCGAACGAGAGCGACCGGUGCUUGCACUGGUCAAUCUAGUGGCGAACGGGUGAGUAACACGUGGGUAACCUGCCCAUCAGAGGGGGAUAACAUCCGGAAACGGAUGCUAAAACCGCAUAGGUCUUCGAACCGCAUGGUUUGAAGAGGAAAAGAGGCGCAAGCUUCUGCUGAUGGAUGGACCGCGGUGCAUUAGCUAGUUGGUGAGGUAACGGCUCACCAAGGCCGUGAUGCAUAGCCGACCUGAGAGGGUGAUCGGCCACAUUGGGACUGAGACACGGCCCAAACUCCUACGGGAGGCAGCAGUAGGGAAUCUUCCGCAAAGGACGCAAGUCUGACGGAGCAACGCCGCGUGAGUGAAGAAGGUUUUCGGAUCGUAAAACUCUGUUGUUAGAGAAGAACAAGUGCUAGAGUAACUGUUAGCGCCUUGACGGUAUCUAACCAGAAAGCCACGGCUAACUACGUG
rnacentral:rRNA from 1 species